AUUGAACGCUGGCGGCAGGCUUAACACAUGCAAGUCGAGCGGAGAUGAGGUGCUUGCACCUUAUCUUAGCGGCGGACGGGUGAGUAAUGCUUAGGAAUCUGCCUAUUAGUGGGGGACAACAUUCCGAAAGGAAUGCUAAUACCGCAUACGCCCUACGGGGGAAAGCAGGGGAUCUUCGGACCUUGCGCUAAUAGAUGAGCCCAAGUCGGAUUAGCUAGUUGGUGGGGUAAAGGCCUACCAAGGCGACGAUCUGUAGCGGGUCUGAGAGGAUGAUCCGCCACACUGGGACUGGACAACGGCCCAGAAUCCUACGGGAGGCAGCAGUGGGGAAUAUUGGACAAUGGGGGGAAGCCUGAUCCAGCCAUGCCGCGUGUGCGAAGAGGGCCUUUUGGUUGUAAAGCACUUUAAGCGAGGAGGAGGCUACCUGGAUUAAUACUCUAGGAUAGUGGACGUUACUCGCAGAAUAAGCACCGGCUAACUCUGUGCCAGCAGCCGCCGUAAUAC
rnacentral:rRNA from 1 species